rnacentral:rRNA from 1 species
AGGACGAACGCUGGCGGCGUGCUUAACACAUGCAAGUGGAGCGACGAACCAGGGCUUGCCCUGGGGCAGAGCCGCGAACGGGUGAGUAACACGUGGGUUACCUGCCUCGAUGACCGGGACAACCCGAGGAAACUCGAGCUAAUACCGGAUGUGCCCGCAAGGGGAAAGGAAGCUUCGGCCUCCGCAUCGAGAUGGGCCCGCGGCCCAUUAGCUAGUUGGUGAGGUAAGGGCUCACCAAGGCUUCGAUGGGUAGCUGGUCUGAGAGGACGAUCAGCCACACUGGGACUGAGACACGGCCCAGACUCCUACGGGAGGCAGCAGUGGGGAAUCUUGCGCAAUGCGCGAAAGCGUGACGCAGCAACGCCGCGUGGGGAAGAAGGCUUUCGGGUGUAAACCCCUUCAGUUGGGACGAAGCUCCGGCGGUGAAUAGCCGUCUGGGGUGACGGUACCUUCACAAGAAGCACCGGCUAACUACGUGCCAGCAGCCGC